rnacentral:piRNA from 1 species
UAAACACAGGAUGCAGACGGUGUUCUGCAAGC